AACGCACAUUGCGCCCCUCGGUAUUCCGGGGGGCAUGCCUGUUCGAGCGUCAUUACAACCCUCAAGCUUUGCUUGGUGUUGGGCGUCACCAGUCUUGGUGUGCCCUAAAAUCAGUGGCGGCGCCGUCUGGCUCUAAGCGUAGUACAUACUCUCGCUAUAGAUGCCCGGUGGAUGCUUGCCAGCAACCUCUAAUCUAUCAAGGUUGACCUCGGAUCAGGUAGGGAUACCCGCUGAACUUAA
rnacentral:misc_RNA from 1 species